rnacentral:lncRNA from 1 species
ACAUAACCUGGGGAGAUGGCCGAGCUCAGAUCCUCAACAAUGGCGACCUCCUCACUCUCUCCCUUGACAAGGCCUCCGGCUCCGGCUUCCAGUCCAAGAACGAGUACUUGUUCGGCAAGAUUGACAUGCAGCUCAAGCUCGUUCCUGGCAACUCCGCUGGCACUGUCACCGCAUACUAUGUAAGUCUCUUUCUUAAUCAGUUUGUGCCCCUUUAUCUUCAAGCUUCCUUCUUUUCUUCUCGAUCAGAUUUUGAACUUUUGCUAUGUUGUGAUUCUACAGUUAUCUUCAAAUGGGUCAACGUGGGACGAGAUUGACUUCGAGUUCUUGGGGAACUUGAGCGGCGAUCCCUACAUUCUUCACACCAACGUGUUCAGCCAAGGCAAGGGCAACCGAGAGCAGCAAUUCUAUCUCUGGUUCGACCCAACUGCUGAUUUCCACACCUACUCCAUCCUCUGGAAUCCACAACGCAUCAUGUAAGAGUCUGAAACGCUCAAACUGCGAUCUUACUUGCAUUUACGUUGCACUGCACUUUUCUCUGCAGCAUUUACUUAAAACUUUUGUGGCAACCAUUGCAGAUUCUCAGUGGACGGGACUCCGAUCAGAGAGUUCAAGAACGCAGAGUCCAUCGGUGUUCCUUUCCCCAAGGCCCAGCCCAUGAGGAUAUUCUCGAGCCUCUGGAACGCGGACGACUGGGCGACCAGAGGCGGCCUAGUGAAGACGGACUGGACGCAAGCGCCCUUCACUGCUUCCUACAGGAACUUCAACGCCGAUAACGCCUGCGUUUGGUCAUCUGGGUCAUCGUCUUGCACUUCGUCUUCAUCUUCUUCGGAUGGUAAUGCAUGGCUAUCAGAAGAGCUUGACUCAACAAGCCAAGAGAGGCUCAAGUGGGUGCAGAGCAACUACAUGAUCUACAACUACUGCUCGGAUGCCAAAAGAUUCCCCCAGGGCUUCCCUCCUGAGUGCACCAUGUCCUAGACGACACGAGACGUUGAUUUUGUAGAAAAUUCUCUUUCUUUUUUUUUACUUUUUUUUCCCGAGACAACUCUAUUCAUUUGUUAAUCUCUCUCUGCUACCGAGAAGCAAUUGAUAUUCUUUUAUUCUUUGACAUGUGUAACAUUCUUGUCUGUACUCAAUAAAACAGAAAAUCAUCUUGGAUUUGAUAGCAUUGCUGCGAUUUGGUGAGUGGAUACAACGCAGAACAAAAUUAAUCGAAUGAAAAUGGAUUUUACAGACUAGCUUCUGCCUUGAACAUGAAAUUGAUGACAGAAUUGAUUACGCUGUUGUAGCUCAGAAAAUUUGAUAAGCGCUACAUUGAGCUAGUCUUGUUUUUACGCUGAGGUAUCCUCAUCAAGGGACUGAUUUGGCCGACAUUUCUUACUGGUCCUUGUGUUUCACGGAAGUACCAGCCAUAGACAACCGAUAAUCAUCAUACCCUCAUGACCAGACGAGCUCUCCAACUCUGCAAACUCAAAAAAUAUCAUUGACUCCAACAUAGAAUUAACCGCAAUUUAUGGCUGAUAAAUCUGAAGUCAACCAAACUUAAAGAGCAUGGUGCCGCAAACUAGGAUCCAUAGAUCGUGCAGUGGGCAACCUGCAAUCCCUCCGACAACCGAUGGCAUUCUUAGCUGACUUCACGAACUCUAAUGUUAAAUAGUUUCAGGGACUUAAAGCUUCAAAUAUAUCAAUCGUUUAUAUAUAGUUCUGAACAAAAAUAGUUUGUCCUUUUCUAACUCCUGACUCAUGAUCAUCCCAACUUGAAGCCACAUUCGUUUUUCAGUCCACAAUUCCUUGCUCACUUUUUCAGCCUUCCACUACAUUACUUGUUACAGCUCAAAUAGCGACGAGAGAACCUUAUUCCCACUCGUCAAAAUCGUGUCACCUCAUUCGACCAAACGAAGUUGCAAACUUAUUGCCCGUGGAGACGGGCUACAAUUGUAAAAUUUGGGUGGUGGCACCAAAAAAAGAAAAAAGAAAAUAAAGGUCGAAAAGUCAAAGAAGAAAAGAGAAAAGAAGGGGACGCUCGGUUCUUAAAUAGACCGAGAGCAUGAGCAGGUUAAAAAAAAAAACCGAUUCAACUCCAAUUUACAGCAUUCAGUAAGUACUCGCAUCCCUCGUUCCUCCAAUCGGAUUGAUUUUGGGGUUUAGGACAAAAUCUGAUUUUUGAGUUAUUGAGUUAUGAAAUUUCAUGAAAAUGAUAGUUUAUGAUGUCAUGAAGCCAUAGGGUUUGUUGAGAAUUGUUUUUUAGCAACAAUUUGGUCGGAGCGAAUAUACGUACUCAUAUAGUCAAAAUGAACAAUGAAAUAUGCGGUUAUGUGAGUAGUAAAAUACUAAAGUACACAUUAAUUUCAAGUACCCUAAUUCGUACAUGUACAAUACAAAAAAACAAGUUAUAUCUUUCCACAAAACUUCAUACAUAUAAAAAAUCAUCUAAAUCAACAACAUUGAAUCAUAGAUAUCUAUUCCAUUGAUCAAUAUCACAUCAAAUCAAACGACGAUGGUCCAUUCCAUCAACUAAUCUCAAAUCACAUGUCAACGACCCAUUCUAUUGACCAUAUUCAUGCUCAAAUAUCUAACAAUGAUCGUACAUAUCAUUCUGUGACAAAGCGAACAAGAUUCCCGUUGUCAAGUUCUCCAUGGCCUAGAAUGAUAUCCUAAAAUCAAUAUGCAUACCCAAAAACCUUCUUACCAAGUCCACAAUUAUAUUAAGCAUUUAAUUAUUAUCCUCUAUUACCAUAAUCAACAUUCAAAAUUCAUCUUGUAAAUUAGUUUCAUAAAUUGAAUCGAAUCACCAUUCACAACUUCGUUUAUCAAAUAAAAUGCAUUUUAUAAAGUAUUUCACAAUUUAAUACUCAAAAUCACUCUCAACUCCAUUCAUCAAACAUAUAUAUAUAUAUAUAUAUAUAUAUAUAUAUAUAUAUAUAUAUAUUUCACAAGACAUUUCUCACACCAUUUUGGAUUUCAAUUCAUAAACCAAGUUGACAAAUUAAUAUAUAUAUAUAUAUAUAUAUAUAUAUAUAUAUAUAUAUAUUACUUUUUGCAACUUAUUUCCUAAAACAUUUUUCAAAACAUUCUCAAAUACCAAAAGAUAGUAAAUAUCUUAUAUAGAUUUUAUGCAACAAACAUGCUUUAAAUAACUCAUACAAUACUCAAAUCAAUAUCAUUUUCAAGACAUGAGUUUACAAAUUCAUAACAAAAAUACCAUCACUCACUUGAGAAUGCCAAAAACGUAACUAUAUGCGUCGGUAAUCUCGUAAUCCUAACAAUUAGAUGAGAAUUGACGUCAAAACCAAGUAAAAUACUAUAACAACUACAAAUCAGUUAAACUAUGCUUAAAUGCUAACAAAAACAACUCUUACACGUCAAUAAAUCGCACACCCACAGCGAUUAUUUAAGCUAUUCGCGGCAUGGAACUCGCAAACGAAGUCGUAAAAUUUUGCUCCAACAAAACGAUUGCUCCAAAAUGACUCAUCAAAUCCUAUGGCUCCACAACAUCAUAAUCCAUCAUUUUUAUGAAAUCUUGUCACGCCCCGAACCCCGAGCGCGCGCACAUCCCACUAAGGUCGAUCUUAAAUGCGACAUCCCAGGAAAUGUCACCGAUCCAUUAAAUUCUUUACGCAUGCGGAAGCGAAACAAAUCCCCUGACAACAUUUAACUUGGGAUAGAAAAGCAGGCAAUCAAUCACCAUACCAAACACUCAUUUACAAACACAAAGGGUUUAAUUACAACACUGAACUUUCUACAAAAUAGACCAGCUCGACACAAGGAGGACUAUCCUACAACCAACUAGCAGGACACGCUCUCCAACCCUUAUGACUUCACAUCUGCAACUCCUCAAGGCCAAUCAAAGCUAUCUGGCCGCUCCGUCCACCAGGGACCUGAAAUUUUAAUCCCACAACCGGGAUGAGACGAUGUCUCAGCAAGUUCAACCCCCUAAACCCCUAUUAGAAAGAAAAUACGCCCCGGGUGGCCUAGCCACAUCACACAGAAGACUUACCUCGCCUCAGCCUUUAUCUGUAGGUUAGCACAAUUUAUAUAAACCAACCACGUGCAAUUAUGAUAACCAAACAACCAUGGCAUAAUCACAUUAUCAAACCAUUCAACCACUUGGAUCGUCUCAGCGAUCAAUCAACUCGGCCGAUUACAUGUCAUUCUAGCAAAUCAAUCAUUGCUCUCAACUACGGCCCUACUCGGCAAAUUUAAAUCAGUGGCAUCACGGCUCCACUCGGCGCAACCUUUAACAGGUGGCAAUUCACGGCCCCAUUGGGCGCGACCUCUAAUAGGUGGCAUAUCACGGCCUCAUCGGGCACGACCUCUAAUAGGUGGUUUAUCACGGCCUCUUUGGGCACGACCUCUUAGAGGUGGUUUAUCACGGCCUCUCUGGGCACGACCUUUCACAGGUGGUUUAUCACGGCCUCUCUGGGCACGACCUCUUAAAGGUGGUUUAUCACGGCCUCUCUGGGCACGACCUCUAAUAGGUGGUAUUUCACGGCCUCAUCGGGCACGACCUCUUGUAGGUGGUUUUUCACGGCCUCAUCGGGCACGACCUUUCCAAGGUGGUUUAUCACGGCCUCUCUGGGCACGACCUCUAAUAGGUGGUAUUUCACAGCCAAUCUCCCAUCAAUUUCUACACUUAGGAUUUCAUAAAGAAUCCCUAUAAAUCACAAUCACACUCAAUUCAUCACAACCAAUCAUCAAUUUCACAUUCUACAAGCAUAGCAACGAUCGGCACGAAAUUCUGAGCAAAUAAGGUCCUAAUGAAAAUUUUCAGAAUUUAAUAAAUAAUUAAAUUUAUUCCGAGAUAUUAAAUAAUAAUAUCCAUAGUUUUCGAAAUCCACACUCAAUUUAUAAUAUCCAAUCAUCAAUUUCAAAAUCGACUACACAGCAACGACCGGCACGAAAUUCUGAGAAUUUAAGGUCUCGACAAAAUUUUCGGAAUUUAAUAAAUAAUUUAAUUUAUUCCGAAAAUAAUUAAAUAAUAAUAUUUUAUUAAUUUCGAAUAAAAUAUAUUAUUAAAUUAUAUAAUAAUUUCGAGACAUUUAAAUAAAUCAAAAGUAAAUUCAUUUAAGUCAAAUCAAGGCUUAUUUUAAAUAAACCUACUUACCCUUAAUUAAGCACACUUUAAAUUAAACCACAACCUUAAUCAAAUCUACUCUUAAUUAACCUAAACUAACAACCUAAUAAUACUUAACAUAAACUAAACCUCCCUAAGCAUAAUUAACCCUCUAAGCGAGGUUUAGUGAGUUAAACUCACCGGAUUAGCGAGCCGAGCGAACCAAAACGACGAGGACGACGCGAGGAUCGACUUUCCUCAAAGCGGGCCGAGCAUCCGGGCUCGGGAAGGCGGCCAAAACGGGCCAAACACCCGCUGCCAUACCCAUUUUUCCAGAUUCUGCUUGCUGCUGGUUGGGGGCGAAGGAGGGCAGAUCCGGGGCCGGCUUAGGUCGAGAACGGGCGGAUGAGCUGCGGCGGUGCUGCACGGCCAACGGCGGGGCCUCACGGUGGCCGGAGGUGAGCUGGACGGCUCCGGCUGAGCUUCCCCAGAUCUGGAAUCGCUGCUGGACUCGCGGAACAGCAGGGACGACGAGGACGGCUGGGCGGAGCAGCUCGCGGGGCUGCGACGGCGAGCGAGCGGAGGGACGGCCGGCGACGAGCGGGCGGGCGGACGGCCAUGGCUGCUCCAGCUUCGACGCCUCCUCAGAUCUGCUGGGGACGCGGGCUGAGGCGGAGCGGAGACGGUGCGACGGCAGGCCGGCGAGCGCGCGCGGGCGGCGCGGGACGGACGCACGGCGGCGGUGGCGACGACGAUGUGCGAGCGGGUGGCCGGCCAUGGCUGCAGCUUCUUCUUCUCUGCAUUUUUCUGGUCUUCGCACCAUGGAAGUGGAGAAGAGAGGCAACGGGAGAGAGAAGGAAGGAGAGAGAAGGGGAGCCAUUUCAUUUUCUUUUCCCUUUUCUUUUUCUCUUUUUCCCUCAUCCAAUCAAGGUGGCCCACCAUAACCUAGGAUGACCUCAUAAUCCACUCACCCAAUCCUCCACAACAUCUUCCAAUGGGUCCAAUUCCAUUUUCCGCCGGGGUCCAAUUCUUGUACACUAAUUUCUCCAAUUCCAUUCAAUUCUCUUCCAAUUGAGUCCAAUUGAAGUUCAUAAAAUUAAUCCAAUGUCACCACACUUCAAUUCACAUCUUCACUUGUCCAUAGAACCAACUUAAGUCCCAAAAGUACGACCGAAAGCGGGCCUACUAAUUUCUCGAGCCAAAUUAGCCAUUCUUUGAUUAUUUUGCUGAAAAGCUCGGCUUGCAUGAAAAAUCUUCCCAAGGAUGAUUCAAGGAUCUUGAAAUGAUUUGUGACAUACCCAGACUUCCAAUUUCUGAAUUCGAUCUCAAUUCCACGGUUAAUUUCACUUUGGCACGAUACUAGCGCGGCCUAACCUACCGGGUAGCCUUUAGAAAUUUUCAUGCAUUUGACCUGUGGUUGAUCAUCUCAAGCCAUAAUGUACAUCUUUGAAACAUUGGCGACUUUCGGUUGUCGGAGUAAUCUCAAGGUUUCAAAUACGAACACAGGGUACCCAAUCGAUAGAAAAGUCGGUCCAGUGCCGAUCGACAAGAAUUGUGCGAUCUGGUGGAAUCACCCACACUUGAUCACAUGCCUCUGUCGAGUCGACCUAUCUCCGAUCUCUAAUCGAUUUUAAUCGUGCCGUAAUGACCCUUGCAGAUUAGCUCGGUCGAAAGGUCGCUUCCUGGUCAAAUUCUCGAGUCUGAUGCAUUAGAAACUCUUAACAGCUUCGCCCGAUAGACUAGUUUCCACAUGAGUGGCCAACUCAAGGAAAAGAACUAUAUGCGUGCCAACAAAAUGCCCAUAUCAAUUUAUUGAAAAUAGAAUUGGAAAAUCGGGAUGUCACAAAUCUCAAAACUCAACUAAGUCAAAAAUUGCACUUUAUGACUCAAAUUUCGAAACUUUUAAUUUGUGCCAUAAUUUUAAAAACUACUCCAAUUAGACAAAUGAAGGGUGUGUGCACUUAUCGAGUGUUGCGAACCGAAGUAAAUACAAUUUGAUGAGAUCUCCAAGGUGUGUACGCAUGAGUUUUUUUCUUCCCCUUUCCCUCUAUUUUCCUUCUUCUUUCUUUUCUUUCUUUUCUUUUCUUUCUUUCUCUCUCUUUCCCUUUUCUACAUAAGCUCUCGAUCCCUAUAAAAUUGAGUCCAUUCUUUUUCAUUUGCUUUUUUUAUUGUUCAAUUUUUGUACUUUUUGACAUUUGACUUGGUCAAACUCCAAAAAUUAUAGUUACAUCAAAAAAUGCCUCCGUGAGUCAAUUUAGGGAUGAUAUAAUAUUAGAGUAUAACCACCUCUAGUGGAUGUGUUGUUUGGGGACGAGCCACACAAUAGUUGGUAGGCCUAUAACGACCUGGUCCGACAAGGAUGGGAAGUGACCGCAUGGGCCAAAGAGCUCAAACAAGAAGCGGCUCCUAUCAACCUUUUAGGAUGGCGAAGAAGGUAAGAACAAACUGAAUUGCAUACUAAAGAGAGAGAAAGUGUGCCUAGGAUAUAUUUGGAAUUAACUCACGGAGACAUCCUUUGACGUAAUAGCAAGUUUUGUUUUGAAACUUUAAAGUUAAUCGUACUUAAUUUAGAACAAUAUCAAAAUGUGUAACCUCCUAGAAAAGGAUUAAUACCCUGAAAAACCCCAAACUGGUACACUUGUGACAAAUUUACCCUAAACUAUUUUUUUGACUGCCAAAAACCCUAAACUGGUAUACCUUUGACAAAUUUACUCCAAACUAGUACACUUGUGACAAUUUUACUCUCUGUUAGUUUUUAUUAAAUUUUGUUCUCAAAUUAUUACUUUAAAUGACACGUGACAGUUGACCAGUAUACUAAUUUAGGAUUUUAUGCUCCGUUUGUCACAAUUUACAAUUUUUAUGAUUUUUUUUGUGGUAUUAAUCCAAUUUAGCAAAUGAUAUAUUUGUCACAAAUUUACCAUUUUUGGGUUUUUUGCAGUCGAAUAAAUUAGUUUUGAGUACAUUUAUCAUAAAUGUACCAGUUUAUGGUUUUUUAUAGUCAGUCGGGGUAAAUUUGUUACAGAUAUACCAAUUUGGGGUUUUUCAUGGUCAAAAAAAUAGUUUUUGGUAAAUUUGUCACAAAUAUACCAGUUUGGGAUUUUUCAGGGUAUUAACCCCCUAGAAAAGUGUCUUCCUAUAUGAUAAAAGACAAAACCGUAAGACUUGAAGUUGGAUAAAUUAAAAAGAAAAUACCUCGAGUGAGUUAAUUAAAGAAUAUCAAUACCGUUACAUCAAAAAUCAUUAAUUCUAGUUUUCACAAUUAUAUUCUAGACACACUCUUCCCAUGUUAGGUGUGGAAUUCCAUUUAUUUAUACCUCCGUCGCCGUUCUAGAAUUCUGACAGCCUCUUCUUAUCUGAAUCUUUUGACCCUGAUAGCCACUUCUUAUCCGAAUCCAUUGACCCUGACAACCACUCUCCGCCUCCAUCAAAUCGGGUCAUUAUGACCUUGUUGUAGGGUUAGGUCAUGAAUUUUCAGAAUAAAUGAAUUGACUAUGAGAGCCGACAUUAGCUGGCGGAAAAGCGGAGGGCGCUCCUGGUAAAGCAUGUAGCUGCCGGUCAAGAGAUGAUAGAGAUCAUCUCUGGGUCGGCGUGGGUGUGGAAGCUUCGCGUCGUCCCAAACCGCGUCCGCUCAUAAUUUAUUUGCGUGGUGGAUGUGGGUUGGUAAUGUCACUGUUUGUCCUCUUCUUUUUGACAACAGUUUUAUAUUGGAAGCCAACUGUCCACAGCUGAGUUGGUGUAGAGGUUUGACCCUCACUGAUCCUUCUUUGCAUCUCCUCUUCUCUCACACGCUUUUCUCCCUUCUCCAUCUUUGCCCCCGAAACUAUAAAAACCACCUCCCCAUCUCUCCCAUUUCAUCAAGCAAAACUAACCCCCACUUCUCUCUCUCCUCUACAGUCCUCACUCUCAAAUCAUCUCAUUGGCAUUUGCAUCUCUUCAGCAACUACAGCAGCAGCAACAACAGAAAACAAAACGCGCCCAAUAUGGCCUCUCGUUCCACUUCUUCGCUUUGUAGAGCUGCGCUUCUUCUCAUGGUCGUUUCUUGGGCGACUUCUGCUUCCGCCCGCAACUUCUAUCAAGACUUCGACAUAACCUGGGGAGAUGGCCGAGGUCAGAUCCUCAACAAUGGCGACCUCCUCACUCUCUCCCUUGACAAGGCCUCCGGCUCCGGCUUCCAGUCCAAGAACGAGUACUUGUUCGGCAAGAUUGACAUGCAGCUCAAACUUGUUCCUGGCAACUCUGCUGGCACCGUCACCGCAUACUAUGUAAGUCUCCUCGGUAAUUAGUUUGUGCCCCUUGGUCUUCAAGCAUCGUUCUUUUUUCUUGAUUCGAUUUUAACUUAUGCUAUAUUGUUAUUCCCCAGUUAUCUUCAAAUGGGUCGACGUGGGACGAGAUAGAUUUCGAGUUCUUGGGGAAUUUAAGUGGCGAUCCGUACAUUCUUCACACCAACGUGUUCAGCCAAGGCAAGGGCAACCGAGAGCAGCAAUUCUAUCUCUGGUUCGACCCAACUGCUGAUUUCCACACCUACUCCAUCCUCUGGAAUCCACAACGCAUCAUGUAAGAGUCUGAAAAGCUCAAAAUGCGACCUUACUUGCAUUUACAUUGCGCUACACUAUUCUCUGUAGCAUUUACUCAAAAACCGGUGUGUGCGACCAUUGCAGAUUCUCAGUGGACGGGACUCCCAUCAGAGAGUUCAAGAACGCAGAGUCGAUCGGCGUUCCUUUCCCCAAGGCCCAGCCCAUGAGGAUAUUCUCGAGCCUCUGGAACGCGGACGACUGGGCAACCAGAGGCGGGCUCGUGAAAACGGACUGGACACAAGCGCCCUUCACUGCUUCCUACAGCAACUUCAAUGCCGAUAACGCCUGCGUUUGGUCAUCUGGGUCGUCAUCUUGCACUUCAUCUUCAUCUUCUUCGGAUGGUAAUGCAUGGCUAUCAGAAGAGCUCGACUCAACAAGCCAAGAGAGCCUGAAGUGGGUGCAAAGCAACUACAUGAUCUACAACUACUGCACGGAUGCCAAAAGAUUCCCCCAAGGCUUCCCUCCCGAGUGCUCCAUGUCCUAGACGACACAAGACAUUGAUUUUGUAAAAAAUUCGCUGUUCUUUUUCUUCUUUUUCGAGCCAAUUCUAUUAAUUUGUUUUGUGGCCGAGAAGCAAUUGAUAUUUUUUUAUUCUUUGACGAUUGUAGCAUUCCUAUCUUUACUCAAUAAAACAGAAAAUCAUCUUGGAUUUCAUAGUAUUGCUGCGACUCAGUGAGUGGAUACAACACAGAACAAAAUUAAGGGAAUGAAAAUGGAUUUUACAGGCCAGCUCCUGCCUUGAAUAUGAAACUGAUGACACAAUUGAUUACGCCGUCGUAGCUCAGAAAAUUAGAUAAACGCUACGUUGAACAAGUUCUGUUUUUAUGUUGAAUUCAACUCCGAUGUCCUCAUCGAGGGACUGAUUUGGUCGACAUUUCUUCCUGGUCCUUGUGCUCCACAGAAGGAUCAAACAUAGAAAACCGAUCAUCACAAUACCAUCAUGACCAGACAAGCUUUCCAAAUCUGCAAACUCAAAGAACAUCCUUGACUCCAACACAGAAUCAACCAUGAUUUACGGCCGAUCAACCUCAAGUCAACCCAACUUAAAGAGCAAGGUGCCGCAAACUAGGAUCCAAAAAUCGUACUGUGUGCCUGCAACCCCUCCCGCAACUGACGGUACUCUUAGCUGAUUUCACAAACUCUAAUGUUAAAUAGCUUCGGGGACUCUAAUGGCAAUGCUGCACAACCGAACACUUGUAAGUGAGAUAUAACAGGAGUAGUAUCAUAAAGAACCUUCCGAGGAGACAAAUUGUCUAGAACAGGAGUUGGGAGAUCAAGUGAACUGCAGUCUCAAAAGCAAAUUCCCAGAGAUGACAAGGAAGAGCAGACUCAUCAUGAGACCAAGGCCAGUUUCCACUGUAUUGGCAAUGCUUGCAUUCAACGGUCCCAUUUUGAAAUAGAGAUUAUGCACAAUAAAUGCGCCAAUGAAUGCCAUGACUGAGAAGGUAAGAGUGCAUGGUAGAGGAUAAGAACUCGGGUGCUCCAUCACACUAAAUCAUCUAAAGCUUGCACUGAAGUUGAGUCUUCAUAAGGGCAUGAAAGGCUUUAAAAAUGUUGAAAAAUUGAUCUUGAGAUGCGAGGGGAUAAAGCCAAGUAAAUCAAUAAAAUUCAUCAAUAAAACAGCCGUAAUAUUUAUAAAACAGGAGGCAGACCCCAAACAUCAAAAUGAACUAGCUGAAGAGAGGAAGCCCUAGGUCUGUGUACGUCAAAUCACAUAAAUUGUUCCGUCUAGGCGUUCUCCGAAGGAUGGAGAAGAAAGGAGACCAGAGAUUGUGGCAGCAGGAGUUGUGGGUCUGGUGAUGGUUGUAGUGGAAGGCUGGGAUUGUUGUAAAGUUGUUUGUUCGGCAGAGGAGGAAUUUGCAGAGGAAUUUGAGUCACUCGUAUUUAGAUCGAUGGGCUUUUGCCUUUUUGAUACCAAGACAGAAAUAGAGAUGCAGAAAGAAAACAGAGAAUAUAGAAGACAUAAGAAAAGUGUGUGUGUAUAUAUAAAUAUAGAAAGAAUCUCUAGAGAUAGAUAUUGACAACAAAAUUUGUAACCACCAAUGAAGAUAAUAUUUGAAUCAAUCAAGGAUUACAUAUUAUGCGUAGAUUCUGAUUGUGUGGUGAUUCUGGUAACGUUAUCAAUCUCGGAUUGGAUAUCAUGCGAAUAUCUUGAUUAUACUGUGAGUCAUAUGCGAGCUAGAGAUAAUAUUUGAUUCUGGUGUGAGCUCGAAUAGUUAGCAGUGGAUUGCGUCAACAGAUAGCUUCAGAUAGAAUCUUCCUGAUAAUCACUCAAAUCCUAAGUUUGUCAUCCAUACAAAUUGCACAACCAAAGAAGCAUCGGCAUAAUGCUGCUGCAAAUUCAAGACGUCAAAGCAUAUAUAUAAGGCAAAACCUGAAGAUUACCUUCCUCCAACCAAACAAAGUCCAUUUCCAUCUUCUUUUCCCAGCUAAAAGAAUGCACCAAUCACCAGUAAAAGAAAACUCCUUGUACUUAUCCUUUCAAACCAUCCUUGCAAAUUGUCAAUAUGCGGAAUUUCUGAAAAAAGGUGAUAAUAAUCGACUCUUUUAAAUCAGAGAGAAAUAUAAGUUGAACAAAGAGACAGAACACGAAUACACGAAUAAUUUAAAGGAAAUAAAAAUUGAAUAGAGGGAAAGAUAAGAAAGGAUCUGAAACAGAGGAUUUCGGGUGCCUCUGCAGACAUUUGCUGCACGGAAUUCUCUUCAUGAUCUCAACUUGCAAUCUCCGUCAAAAAAUUUUGAUUGAACAAAUAAAGAGGUUAACCCGAGUGAAGUUAACAAAAAUUGAUUGACUUGAGCCAACGCAACAUUCGGCUGAACUUUUUUUACAUUUUAGAACCAAAAAAGCAUGCAUAAUCUGAACAAUUUUAAAUGUAAUUUAUUAUAUUCUCUCCAAAGAUUUGAGGUGUUGUAUGUUAAGUUGAGGUGAAAUAGCAAAGUUAAAUUUGAAAAGGUAAGAAAUGAGAAAAAUAAAAUAGAAUCGGAAUGUAUCUAGAUAGAACGCAUUCCCGAAUCGUACAUGUAGAAUAGUGGGAGGAGACAUGUGGGUUCUCAAAGAGUACGAGUUUUCAAUAUGUCCGCUCUUUGGUGUCGAAAGAGAACGGACUUUUGCUUUCCAUGAAAGUUUUUAGAUGCUUCUCCUAUAAUGUCUCUGCCUAAGAUACAUGAAGAUGAUAGUCGACGUGAUCUCUAAUGUAUGCAAAUUAUAGUGCACGGGAAGAAGGUACGUACCCCACCAUAUGAGAUCCACCGACAUUAGGUGAAGGAAAAGCAGCGACCGCUCAUGGUGAAGCAUGUAGCUGGUAGGGGUGAGCAGCGGUCUAGGGUCGACCCUGGACCGACCCUAGACCGGCCCAACCCUGCCGGUCUUGGUCCGGUUCCCAAGGGGACCGGGUCGGUCCUUGAUCCUGAAUUUCCAGAACCAACACUGUGCGGGUUGGUCCUCGAUCCUAAGAGUUUUUGGUCAGUCCAACCCUGGACCAACCCUGUAUAUUAUAUUAUAUUAUUUAUAAUUAUUUUAUAUAUUCAAACCUAAGUAAAAUGUCUGUUAUAUUAUAUUAUAUUAAGAUGUUAUAUCAAUAGAACUAAUAAUAAUUUCAAUUUAAAACUUUUGUUGAGUAUUAAUUAUGUGUCAUUUGUUUUGUUUUCAGGUAUUUAGAAGUUCAAGUGAAUUAACAAAAUGUGAAGUUAUAUAUUCAUGGUUUAUAUUAAGUAUUUUGAACUUUUUAUGGUUUAAUUGUAUUUUAUUAAUGAAUUUUAGCUGCACUUUAUUUUUCAAUUUGUGUCAAAUGGUAUAAAUUUUUUAAGAGUAGAGUAAUACUGCAGUUGCUACGGUGAUUUGCUAGUCAAGUGGUGUGAAGCUCAUUUUUUGGUUGAGUGGACUUUACAAUCAAAUGCAAGAAAACGCUUUUGCAUAUGGUGUUAUGAAUAUUAAAGAUAGAUGAUUACAAGAACUUUCCAUCUUGUCCCAUAUCUCGAUGAGCGGUUAAUAGCUACGGAAUUUCUAUUAUUGUGUCAUCUUAAAUUUACUAAAUAUGUAUUGGUAUUUAUAAUUUAGUUGCACAAUGCCGCAUUAUCGAUGGAUGUGUAAUUUGAAUUUGUAGGUUUACUUUUUUAAGGAGUAUAAAAAAUAAGACGAAAAAAAUUAUUGAUCGGUCUCGGGUUGACCCUGAAACCGGACCGAACCCAUUGGGUCGGUCCGGUCCUUGGUCCCAAGCUCAAUAGGGUCGGUUCUCGGUCCUAAAAAUUGAGGACCGACACUGUAUGGGUGGGUCCUAGGGUUAGGGGAUGGCCCGAAUCAACCCGGACCAUGCUCACCCCUAGUAGCUGGUGGUGAACAGACGAUAGAGCCCGUCUCCGUGUGGGGAAGCUCCAUGUCGUCUCGAACCGCGUUGCCUCAUAAUUUAUUUGCAUGCUGGACGUGCGUUGGUAGUGGUAGUGUCACUGUUUGUCCUCUUCUUUUUUAAAGCAACUUCUAUAUUGGAAGCCAACUGUCCACAGCUGAGUUAGCGUGGGGGGUUGACUCCCACCAAUCCUUCGUUGCCUCUCCUCAUCUCUCACACGUUUUCUCCCAUCUUCAUCUUCGGUACGAAGCUAUAAAUACCAUCUCCACAUCUCUCCCAUUUCAUCAAUCAACGCAAACACUCCACAUCUCUCUCUCCUCUUCAGUCCUCACUCUCAUAUCAUCUCAUUGAGAUUUGCUUCUCUUCUUCAACUACAGCAGCAGCAGCAGCAGACAGAACACGCCCAAUAUGGCCUCCCUUUCUACUUCUUCGCUUUGCAUCGCCACUCUGCUUCUCGUGGUCGUUUCUUGGGGGACGUUUGCUUCCGCCCGCAACUUCUAUCAAGACUUCGACAUAACCUGGGGUGAUGGCCGAGCUCAGAUCCUCAACAACGGCGACCUCCUCACUCUCUCCCUCGACAAGGCCUCCGGCUCCGGCUUCCAGUCCAAGAACGAGUACUUGUUCGGCAAGAUUGACAUGCAGCUCAAGCUAGUUCCCGGCAACUCCGCUGGCACCGUCACCGCAUACUAUGUAAGUCUCCUUCUUAAUCAGUUUGUGCCCCUUUAUCUUCAAGCUUCCUUCUUUUUUUCUCGAUCAGAUUUUUAAUUUUUGCUAUGUUGUUAUUCUACAGUUAUCUUCAAACGGGUCGGCGUGGGAUGAGAUAGACUUCGAGUUCUUGGGGAACUUGAGCGGCGAUCCAUACAUUCUCCACACCAACGUCUUCAGCCAAGGCAAGGGUAACCGAGAGCAGCAAUUCUAUCUCUGGUUCGACCCAACUGCUGAUUUCCACACCUACUCCAUCCUCUGGAAUCCACAACGCAUCAUGUAAGAGUCUGAAAAGCUCAAAAUGCGACCUUACUUGCAUUUACAUUGCGCUACACUAUUCUCUGCGGCAUUUACUCAAAUACCUUUGUGCGCGACCAUUGCAGAUUCUCAGUGGACGGGACUCCCAUCAGAGAGUUCAAGAACGCAGAGUCCAUCGGUGUUCCCUUCCCCAAGGCCCAGCCCAUGAGGAUAUUCUCGAGCCUCUGGAACGCGGACGACUGGGCGACCAGAGGCGGGCUCGUGAAGACGGACUGGACGCAAGCGCCCUUCACUGCUUCCUACAGGAACUUCAACGCCGAUAACGCCUGCGUUUGGUCAUCUGGGUCGUCAUCUUGCACUUCGUCUUCAUCUUCUUCGGAUGGUAAUGCAUGGCUAGCAGAAGAGCUUGACUCGACAAGCCAAGAGAGGCUCAAGUGGGUGCAGAGCAACUACAUGAUCUACAACUACUGCACGGAUGCCAAAAGAUUCCCCCAGGGCUUCCCUCCUGAGUGCUCCAUGUCCUAAACGACACAAGACAUAGGAUUUGUAGAAAAUUCUCUAUUCGUUUUUUUCCCUUUUUGGAGCCGAUUCUAUCAAUCUGUUAAUCUCUCUCUCUCUCUCUCUCUCUCUCUCUCUCUCGUCGAGAAGCAAUUGAUAUUCUUUUAUUCUUUGACACGUGUCACAUUCUUGUCUUUAUUAAAUGAAACAGAAAAUCAUCUUGGAUUUCAUAGCAUUGCUGUGAUUCUCAGUACACAUGUUUUUACAUGACCCCGAAGUGUAGGUUCGAAGUCUUGUAAUCAGUCUUGUAAUCUAUACAAUAAAUACUCCAAGCAAUGCUAUUUCUACUGUCUAUAAGGAUUUUCCCACGGCUAAUUUAGUAAAUUAAAAAAAUCACCCUCAAAGAAGAGGGAAAACAAAGAAAAAAAAAAGAAAAAAAGAAAAGAAAAAAUAAUUCGAAUUUAAAAAUAAAAGGGGGGGGGGGGGAGAGGAGGAGGAGGAAAUGAAGGCUUGGAAGAGUGUGAGAUAAGAGAAACCAAGUAAGAAAAAGUGGAAAACAUUUUUCCCUAGUUUAAAAGACUUUUUUUUCCUCAUUCAUGGAAAAUGUUUUCCCCAAGCAAUUCAUUUUUUUGUGAAAUAAACGUUGGAACUUUGGAAAACAUUUUUUUAGAAAUUAUUUUCCGCAAAACGAAUGAAGCCUGAAUGUAAACUUUGUAUGACCGGUACAAAAGAUAUAAACCACUUAUUCUUUUAGUGCACCUGGACAAGUAGUGUAUGGCAUAGUAUUUUGGUACAAAAUGGAAUUUGACAUUAUGUAGGAGGUUGGAACUUAGAACUUCAAUGAAUGAUUGGAGACACCAAGGGUAAAAACUUGAAGAUGAGACUCCUCAAGCUAUCUUUUUUAGCGACAAUCUAUUACAUCUGGAUGGAACACAAUCGCAAAUGAUUUCAAAACAAGUAGAUUGAGACUCAUGUUCUGUUAACUAAGAUUCAAAAGAUUGUAAGAGGUAAGACGUCACUCUACUAAAAAUGUAGGUCUUUCUAGGCAAAUGUUUUAUUAGCUCCUGUAUGGAGCCUCCCUCCUUCCAUCUUUUCGCAUUAAUGGUCUCUUUAUAAUGUUAGGGGAUCCCCCUAAGCUUAGUACCUCAUAUGAUUAAUGAUAUUCACAUAUUUACAAUUUUUUUUUUUUAAAAGUGCGAAAAUGAAAACCUGACAGUAGUCGACCAAAGAAUACACAUGGCCAUGUUUUAGAGCUUUAGGACAGGAUCCACCUUGAGUAAAAUGGAAAUUUAAGUAUUCAUGAAAUUAUUCUAAACGUGUGACAUUACACUAUUCUAAUCCAUGCCAAACAAAUUAUUUAUAAUAAAAGUUAUUUAUAGAAUACCCAAAAAAGCACUAAUUAGGGGAUGACUUUAGAAAAUUAGAGAAAUUCCAAACCUAUCAUUUAUGCUCUAGUUUAUUUAACAGUAAUAUAUACUUUUUGGUUUUCUUCCAUAUUUUUUAAUUAUUAUUUUUAAAAUUUGUUUGAAAAAUAAUAUCAAUUCAUUAGACUGAAGUAUGCUUAAUUCAAAUAAACAUGGACCAAUUCAAAACAUGAAUAUCACAUUAAUAAAGCUCGAAUCAACCUGUUCAAGAUUGGAAUGUGGUUUGGGCAUUUCGUCGAACGACCAAUGUGCAUUAGAAUACACAGACCAGUUCGUGACCUUCAAUCUUGACUCGAAAGUGAUCUUAAGCUCAAACAAGACAUCAGAGUUAUACUAAAACUUUUAGGGGAAAAUAUGAACAAGAAAUAAGAUCCCAAAAUACAUUAAAUUAUAAUUUAGCCUACCUUAUAUUGGUUCAACCUACUUUUGCAAAUCGAGGUUUGAACCCUAGUCAAGAAAAUAGGUCGCCUACCCCGAUUCAAGCCCUUAUAUCUAAUAUACUAAAGACUUUGGGAAAAAUUCACUCAAUCUGAAUGAAUGUAUGUAUUACGAGAUUUCAAAUGCAACAAACAUCCCAGAUAAUGAUCAACUACAAAGGUCAAAAUGACCCCUCAAAGUGGCCUUCAUGCAUGAUCCACACAAGCUAGCCAUCUAGUGUGAAUCGGUUCAGUUUUUUGUUCAAGUUCUAAGUGCUCCAUGGCUCAUAUAGAGAUUUAAAAACCAAAUGAAGUUGACCUAAGUAUCAUUUGUAAUCCCAUAUAAUAUUCAUCAAGUUUACAAAGACAGAUAACUCAUGUAAACAAGUGUAGCAAGUCAAGUAUGCAAGACUCUUGAAGCUAGUUCAACACUUAGAAAACCAGCCUCAGAUAUAAGUUUCCUAACUCUUGAUUUUCCAUGGUCAAAAUUGAACAAAAAUGCAUUUAAGAUCCCUACCUUGCUACCUAGUUGCUGCUCCUAAUAAGCUUCUAAGAUGGCAAAGAGAGUAGGAUUUGAAUUGCACACCAAAGAGAGAGAGGGUAUGCUUGGGACAUAUUUGUAAAAAUUGGAAUUAAUUUACGAAAGUACCUAAGUUUAGAGCAUCACCAAGAUAUGUGACCUCCUAGGAAAGUGUCUUCCUGUACGACAAAACAAAAGUUUGAGACUUUGUAUUGGAAGGGCCAAAAGGACAAUAUCUCGACUAAGUUAAUAAAUUAAUGUUAAUGUCGUUACAACAUUAAUUUCAAUUUUCACAAAUAUAAGUCAAGCGCACUCUUCUCAUGUUAGGUGUGGAAUUCUAUUUAUUCAUGUCCCCUUCACCAUUCUAGAAAUCUACUAUGAGCCAUUUUUUUAUCUGAAUCCUCUGGCUCCAACGACUACUCUUUCCCCCAUCAAACGGGAUGUGCUGUCUUCACUAUGAGAAACGACAUUAGCUGGCGGAAAAGCAGCGAGAGGUCAUGAUAACGCAUGUGCUGCUGGCGGUCGAUGGAUGAUCGAGCUCGUCUCUGCGUGGGGGUGGGCGUGCGAGGGGAAGCUUCGUGGUGUCUCUAACCGCGUCCCACUAAUUUAUUUGUACGACGGAGGUUGGUAUGUCGCCGCUCGUCUGUCUUCUUUUCAGAAUCAUAUUUUAAUAUCAGAAGCCAACUGUCCACAGUUGAGUCGGUGUCGAGGUUUGACUCCCAUCAAUCCUUCUUUGCCUCUCCUGUUCUCUCACACGUUUUCUCCCUCCUCCAUCUUCGGCACGAAGCUAUAAAUACCAUCUCCACAUCUCUCCCAUUUCAUCAACCAACAGAAACACCCACAUCUCUCCCUCCUCUUCAGUCCUCACUCUCAUAUCAUCUUUGCUUCUCUUCAGCAACUACAGCAGCAGCAGAAAGACAGACAGAACACGCCCAAUAUGGCCUUCCCUUCUACUUCCUCACUUUGCAUCACUACACUGCUUCUCGUGGUCGUUUCUUGGGCGACGUCUGCUUCCGCCCGCAACUUCUAUCAAGACUUCGACAUAACCUGGGGUGAUGGCCGAGCUCAGAUCCUCAACAACGGCGACCUCCUCACUCUCUCCCUUGACAAGGCCUCCGGCUCUGGCUUCCAGUCCAAGAACGAGUACUUGUUCGGCAAGAUUGACAUGCAGCUCAAGCUCGUUCCCGGCAACUCCGCAGGCACCGUCACCGCAUACUAUGUAAGCCUCGUCCUUAAAAAGUUGGUGCCCCUUCAUCUUUAAGCUUCCUUCUUUUUUUCUUGAUCAGAUUUUAAUUUUUGCUAUGUUGUUAUUCUACAGUUAUCUUCAAAUGGGUCGACGUGGGACGAGAUAGACUUCGAGUUCUUGGGGAACUUGAGCGGCGAUCCAUACAUUCUUCACACCAACGUGUUCAGCCAAGGCAAGGGCAACCGAGAGCAGCAAUUCUAUCUCUGGUUCGACCCAACUGCUGAUUUCCACACCUACUCCAUCCUCUGGAAUCCACAACGCAUCAUGUAAGAGUCUGAAAAGCUCAAAUGCUACCUUACUUGCAUUUACAUUGCGCUACACUUUUCCCUGCAGCAUUUACUCAAUAACCUUUGUAUGCGACCAUUGCAGAUUCUCAGUCGACGGGACUCCCAUCAGAGAGUUCAAGAACGCAGAGUCCGUCGGUGUUCCCUUCCCCAAGGCCCAGCCCAUGAGGAUAUUCUCGAGCCUCUGGAACGCAGACGACUGGGCGACCAGAGGCGGGCUCGUGAAGACGGACUGGACGCAAGCGCCCUUCACUGCUUCCUACAGGAACUUCAACGCCGAUAACGCCUGCGUUUGGUCAUCUGGGUCGUCAUCUUGCACUUCGUCUUCAUCUUCUUCGGAUGGUAAUGCAUGGCUAGCAGAAGAGCUUGACUCGACAAGCCAAGAGAGGCUCAAGUGGGUGCAGAGCAACUACAUGAUCUACAACUACUGCACGGAUGCCAAAAGAUUCCCCCAAGGCUUCCCUCCCGAGUGCUCCAUGUCCUAGACGACACAAGACAUUGAUUUUGUAAAAAAUUCUCUUUUCUUUUUCUUCUUUUUUCGAGCCAAUUCUAUUCAUUUGUUUUGUGGCCGAGAAGCAAUUGAUAUUCUUUUAUUCGUUGACGAUUGUAACAUUCCUAUCUUUACUCAAUAAAACAGAAAAUCAUCUUAGAUUUCAUAGUAUUGCUGCGACUCAUGAGUGGAUACAACACAGAACAAAAUUAAUGGAAUGAAAAUGGAUUUUACAGGCCAGCUCCUGCCUUGAAUAUGAAACUGAUGACACAAUUGAUUACGCUGUCGCAGCUCAGAAAAUUAGAUAAACGCUACGUUGAACUAGUUUUGUUUUUAUGUUGAAUUCAACUCCGAUAUCCUCAUCGAGGGACUGAUUUGGUCGACAUUCCUUCCUGGUCCUUGUGCUCCACAGAAGGAUCAAACAUAGAAAACCGAUCAUCACAAUACCAUCAUGACCAGACAAGCUUUCCAAAUCUGCAAACUCAAAAAACAUUUUUGACUCCAACAUAGAAUCAACCAUGAUUUACGGCCGAUCAACCUCAAGUCAACCUAACUUAAAGAGCAAGGUGCCGUAAACUAGGAUCCAAAAAUCGUACUGUGUGCAACCUGCAACCCCUCCCACAAUUGAUGGUACUAUUAGCUGAUUUCACAAACUCUAAUGUUAAAUAGCUUCAGGGACUCUAAUGGAAAUGCUGCACAAUCGAACACUUGUAAGUGAGAUAUAUCAGAGUAGUAUCAUAAAGAACCUUUCGAGGAGACAAAUUGUCUAGAACAGGAGUUGGGAGAUCAAGUGAACUGCAGUCUCAAAAGCAAAUUCCCAGAGAUGACAAGGAAGAGCAGACUCAUCAUGAGACCAAGGCCAGUUUCCACUGUAUUGGCAAAGCUUGCGUUCAACGGUCCCAUUUUGAAAUAGAGAUUAUGCACAAUAGAAGCGCUGAUGAAUGCCGUGACUGAGAAGGUAAGAGUGCAUGGUAGAGGAUAAGUGUGACAUCCUGAAUUUCGACCUUGUCUCGAUUAAAUGAAAUAGGCAUUUCGUUGAUGCGCCUAUGGUCUUUUUUCUCAAAGCUGAUCACUCUCGAGUUAACUUAUCUAUCGGGUGAAGCUGUUAAGGGAUAUAAACUCGACAGACUUGAGAAUUCAAUCAGAAAUCGAUUGCUCGACCAUGAUAAUUGGCAAGGGUCAAUAUGACACAAUUAUAAUCGAUUAGUAAUCGGAUAUAAUUCGAUUCGAUGGAAUGACGUAAUUAAAUCAUGGGUGAUUCCACAUAAUUGCAAAAUUUGCGUCGAACGCACUAACCCAAUUAGGUGUCGAUUUUGUACUGGGUGUCCAUAAUUGAAAUCUUGAGAUUUUUAUGAUAAUCGAGAGUCACCAACGAGUCGGAGAUGCACAAACAUGAAUUGAAAUUAUCGACCAUGGGUGAAACGCACUAAAAUCCCUAAAAGCUACUUGGUAGGUUAGGUCACGCUAAAAUCAUGAAUUGAAAUUAUCGACCACGGGUGAAACGCACUAAAAUCCCUAAAAGCUACUUGGUAGGUUAGGUCACGCUAAAAUCAUAUCCGGUUCAUUUUAACCAUUGAGUUCGGAAUUUUACGAAAAAAUUGAUUUUCGGCAAAAAGAAAAUAAAAAAGGAAAUUCGGGGGUAGACCAAGUUGGAUUUUUCUACCUCUAGGCUUAUUUUGGGAAAUUAAGCUUAGGAAAGUAUUUUGGGAGGAUGAAAAUGAGCAUAGAGACUUUUGGGGCUUAGGUAAUGAUGGUUAGGGUAUUUUGCUUGGACUCUCUCUCCCUCUCUCCCUCUCUUUCACGCACACCUCCCUCCCCCCAGCAGACAUCUUCUUCUUCUCACAUAUCUUUCCUUUCCUCAUGUGUUCUUCAUCCCCUCAACCUCACGCUACCACACCAUUUUCUCCUCUACACCCACAAUCCAUCAACCAAUGCCAACAGCUCCUUGCCACACACCGCCAGCCCUGUAGCCCCCCAACGCCAAUACAGCACCUUCAUCUCACGUCCACCACCUAGCGGCAUCGUCCUUCACGCCCGCCGCAGCUCCCGCCAAGCUGCCACCGUCCACCACGCCAACGCAACUGCUCCGCCGAACUACUAGCACCACCCCACUUCACUGUCCGACUGCCCAACCGCUCAUUCCAGCCACCGUAGCCCCUCAAGUAGCCACGGUCCAGCAGCUACAAAACCGAACCAGCAACUCCAAGUCGUGGGCCCCUUGCAGUUUUCAGCCUCGGUUGGUCCUAUGUUGGAGACUCGGUAGUUUCAAGUCUUCAUCGCCUUCGCGCCGCCUUUGCCGUGAGCCCACCACUAUCGUAAUCUGGUGAGUUAACUCCAUAAUCCUUGAUUAGGUUUUUAAUUGCACUUAGGGGGUUAGAUUAGUACUAAUUAACUUAGUUAAAUUAGUAUUAAGUGAGAUUAGCCUUAAUAUGGAUUAGUGUUAAUCUAAUUGGUUAGAUUAGCACUAAUGAGGGUGGUUUAGUCUAAUUUAGUGGAUUUCUCUCGAAUCUGGUUACUGGACCCUUGCCGUUUGCUAUUUUUGUGGGGAGAAAUGCACAACGAUUUUGGAGUGGCUUCAUCUUGAGAAAUGUUUUAGAUAUCUUCAGUUAUGACAUAUAUUUUAGUCAAGAUUUUAUGGAUUUAAAAGAAUGAUAUUUCAACUUCGUUAUUUGCAAAAAAGAAUCUCGAAUUGUGCUGAGACCAGUGACUUUUUGGUGUUUAAUGGAUUUUUUUUCAACUCUUAGAGUUAUAUUUUCGAAACGAUUCCUUCACAAAAGUUGUUUAUCAUAUCUUGUAGUUUAAUAGAGUCAAAUUUCAAAUCAAACGAAUAAGUUUUGGCCUUCAAGCCAAACUGAUUUCAGAAAACAAACUUUCUAGAUACAAACACAGUUUUUGUAAUAGUUUGGGCAACUUACUGCUCUCAAUCUAGAAAAAUCUGGGUUAGGUAUCUACAUGAAAAAUGAUCUUUUAAGUGUCCUUUACAACAUAUUCAAAUUUGAGAAUUUUUUGAAUUCGUUUGGUUAUGUUUCUAGAAUUAAACUUGGAGACGCGCGAAUGGCCCAGUUUCUGCUAGUUAGGGCUGGUAGUGGUUUUGUGAUUAUUCUUGGUGCCGUGCUUGCUGGAUAAUGUGUAUUUGGUGAUAUGGUUGACUUUUGGCAUGCUUAGAGUUUAUGCUUGAUAAUAUGUGAAAUUAAUUGCUUAAUUGUGCAAUUGGGUGUCUGGGUUUUGUAUUAUUGCAAAAAUCGGAUUUUGGUAUUUAAAUAGAAAAAUACCGGAUGUUGGUUUUGAUGCCAAAAAUAUUUUAGGUACUAUAUAAAAUCCUGGAAUUUCGAAAUGGGAGAGUAUCACGUUUUAUAAUUUGAUUUGACUGUGUGACCACGCACAAUUAUUUUACCGAGUAUUUUUAAUUCGAAGAAAAUUGGCCAAGUCCAAAUGAAAAUAUUUGAGUGCAAAGCACGAUAUUCUUGGUUGAACAUGGAUGUGCGUGUGAUCGCUUAAGUACCCUGAUGUGUUUACGCAAGAUAGUGAACCCGUCUUGAUGCGUUUACGUAGGAUGAUGCAUGAUUAAGUUCAGAUGCCCUUGACAACGGAUGCCACUUGCAAUAAAGGUUGGGCCAAUGCUCCUUAUGGAAUGCGUUUACGUGGGACGUUGCCGUGCCUGAUGAAGUGAGACGACACCCGGUUAUGCCAGAUGACUGCCAACUAUUGAGUUGGACAUACAUGGCCGAUGGUCGUAAUAACUGCCGAGAGAUGUGCGCGUGCCCGAGAUUCGGGGCGUGACAAUAAAGAACUCGAGUGCUCCAUCACACUAAAUCAUCUAAAGCUUGCACUGAAGUUGAGUCUUCACAAGGGCAUGAAAGGCUUUAAAAAUGUUGAAAAAUUGAUCUUGAGAUGCGAAGGGAUAAAGCCAAAUAAAUCGAGAAAAGUCAUCAUUAAAACACCCGUAAUAUUUAUAAAACAGGAGGCAAACCCCAAACAUCAAAAUGAACUAGCUGAAGAGAGGAAGCCCUAGAUCCGUGUACGUCAAAUCACAUCUAGGCGUUCUCCGAAGGAUGGAGAAGAAAGGAGACCAGAGAUAGUGGCAGCAGGAGUUAUGGGUCUGGUGAUUGUUGUAGCGUUGUUUACUCGGCAGAGGAGGAAUUUGCAGAGGAAUUUGAGUCACACGUAUUUAGAUCGAUGGGCUUUUGCCUUUUUGAUACCAAGAUAAAAAUAGAGAUGCAGAAAGAAAACAGAGAAUAUAGGAGACAUAGGAAAAGUGAGUGUAUAUAUAUAAAUAUAGAAAGAAUCUCUAGGGAUAGAUAUUGACAACAAAAUUUGUAACUACCAAUGAAGAUAAUAUUUGAAUCAAUCAAGGAUUACAUAUUAUGCGUAGAUUCUGAUUGUGUGGUGAUUCUAGUGCGAGAACGUUGUCAAUCUCGGAUUGUAUAUCAUGCGAAUAUUCUGAUUAUGCUAUGAUUCAUAUGCGAGCUAGAGAUAACAUUUUAUUCUGGAGUGAGCUCGAAUAAUUAGCAGUGGACUGGGUCAACAGAUAGCUUCAAAUAGAAUCUUCAUGCUAAGUUUGUCCCCCCAUACAAAUUGCGCAACCAAAGAAGCAUCGGCAUAUAUAUUAUAAAAGACAAAACCUGAAGAUUACCUUCCUCUAACCAAACAAAGUCCAUUUCCAUCUUCUUUUCCCAGCUAAAAGAAUGCACCAAUCACCAAUAAAAGAAAACUCCUUGUACUUAUCCUUUCAAACCAUCCUUGCAAAUUGUCAAUAUGCCGAGUUUCCCAAAAAAGGUGAUAAUAAUCGACUCUUUUAAAUCAGAGAGAAAUAUAAGUUGAACAAAGAGACAGAACACGAAUACACGAAUAAUUUAAAGGAAAUAAAAAUUGAACAGAGGGAAAGAUAAGAAAGGAUCUGAAACAGAGGAUUUCGGGUGCCUCUGCAGACAUUUGCUGCACAGAAUUCUCUUCAUGAUCUCAACUUGCAAUCUCCAUCAAAAAAUUUUGAUUGAACCGAGAUGUAAACCCGAGGAACAAAUAAAGUGGUUAACCCGAGUGAAGUUAACAAAAAUUAAUUGACCUGAGCCAACGCAUCAUUCGGCCGAUUUUUUUUUUACAUUUUAGAACCAAAAAAGCAUGCAUAAUCUGAACAAUUUUAAAUGUAAUUUAUUAUAUUCUCUCCAAAGAUUUGAGGUGUUGUAUGUUAAGUUGAGGUGAAAUAGGAAAGUUAAAUGCAAAAAGAUAAGAAAUGAGAAAAAGAAAAUAGAACCGGAAUGUAUCUAGACAAAACGCAUUCCUAAAUCGUACAUGUAAAACAGUGGGAGGAGACAUGUGGGUUCUCAAAGAGUACAAAUUUUCAAUAUGUCCGCUCUUUGGUGUCAAGAGAGAAUGAAUUUUUACUUUCCAUGAAAGUUUUUAGAUGCUCCUCCUAUAAUAUCUCUGCCUAAGGUACAUGAAGAUGAUAGGCGCAAUGAUCUCUAACGUAUGCAAAUUAUAGUGCGCGGGAAGAAUGUAAGUACCCCACCAUAUGAGAUCCACCGACAUUAGCUGGCGGAAAAGCAGCGACCGCUCAUGGUGAAGCAUGUAGCUGGCGGUGAACAGACGAUAGAGCCCGUCUCCGUGUGGGGAAGCUCCAUGUCGUCUCGAACCGCGUUGCCUCAUAAUUUAUUUGCAUGGGGAAUGUGGGUUGGUGUGUCACUGUUUGUCCUCUUCUUUUUUAAAGCAAUUUCUAUAUUGGAAGCCAACUGUCCACAGCUGAGUUAGCGUGGGGGGUUGACUCCCACCAAUCCUUCGUUGCCUCUCCUCAUCUCUCACACGUUUUCUCCCAUCUUCAUCUUCGGUAGGAAGUUAUAAAUACCAUCUCCACAUCUCUCCCAUUUCAUCAAUCAACGCAAACACUCCACAUCUCUCUCUCCUCUUCAGUCCUCACUCUCAUAUCAUCUCAUUGAGAUUUGCUUCUCUUCUUCAACUACAGCAGCAGCAGCAGCAGACAGAACACGCCCAAUAUGGCCUCCCUUUCUACUUCUUCGCUUUGCAUCGCCACUCUGCUUCUCGUGGUCGUUUCUUGGGGGACGUUUGCUUCCGCCCGCAACUUCUAUCAAGACUUCGACAUAACCUGGGGUGAUGGCCGAGCUCAGAUCCUCAACAACGGCGACCUCCUCACUCUCUCCCUCGACAAGGCCUCCGGCUCCGGCUUCCAGUCC